rnacentral:rRNA from 1 species
GAUGAACGCUAGCGAUAGGCUUAACACAUGCAAGUCGAGGGGCAGCAUGAUCUUAGCUUGCUAAGGUUGAUGGCGACCGGCGCACGGGUGCGUAACGCGUAUGCAACUUGCCUUACAGAGGGGGAUAACCCGUUGAAAGACGGACUAAAACCGCAUACACUUGUAUUAUUGCAUGAUAUUACAAGGAAAUAUUUAUAGCUGUAAGAUAGGCAUGCGUCCCAUUAGCUAGUUGGUGAGGUAACGGCUCACCAAGGCGACGAUGGGUAGGGGAACUGAGAGGUUUAUCCCCCACACUGGUACUGAGACACGGACCAGACUC